CUUAUCUACUAGAAGCCGAAUUACUUGGAAACCAAGUACUGAAAACAGGAUGCAGUUCUGAAUCUCGUAGGAGACCGCACAGAAGCUGGAUAUGAAUCUUAUACCCAGAUUCAGGAUCCCCAUCCCCCAGACAACUGCAGUCUGCCAUCACAGCCAGGACCACCAUCAAGCACACAACAGCCGCUCUUCUAUACUCUGAUCUCACAUGAGCUCUCAUCAAAUCUUUGUGAUCAGUCCAGCUGGUAUAGAGGAUAUCCAGCUACUGUUUGGCCAUUCUUGCCCAGCUCCAUCAGAACAGUUCUUUUCACAGGAUAAAGAGCUGAAAAGGUUGCAUUCAUGUCCAACCCACUGUAGCUGUGGUAGGUUAUCAGAAGGGGGAAUGGGUUCUUAUGAGGAAGGGGUCCGUGUGAACAGUGGGUCUGAAGUACUGGCCUUCCCAACAGCUAGUUGCUGUGAAUCUUGUCUGUUUAAUAAAGAUGAUCCAAACACAGUCUAGAUCAUUUUGUUUUUGCCACGAAGAGGACAAGAAUUGGGGAUCAGGAUAGGCACCCUCUGAGAUAAUUCUUUCCUGUCCUUCUGCAAGCAUCCUUCAAGCUAGCCUGCUGCAAGACCACAGAAGUUCUUCAGCUGGACUUUCAGAUGUACUGGGAGACUCUAGUACUUGUGACUUGGCUUGAGGGCUAAUUAAAGGGACUGACAGCCAGCAAGGCUGCGAGCAAGGACAGCCAGUAGAGGACAUGAGGUCAGUCUGUCAUCAGUGACAAGAUGUUUCUGAACAGUUCAUUUUGGCAUGGCUGUCCUCCUCCCUUUUCUUGGUGUACUUCCUUUCUCAGUCAAUCAGUGCUCAGUUAAUUGGUAUAGGCAGUGGCAGCUCUCAUGCUUUUUAGCUGUAAGAUAUCAGCUAAAAUUUUGUAGUAGACUUGCGUGCAUGUAUGUAUACACAGGUAUACAGCAAUGAAAGUUUAGACCAAUAUGGAACAAAUCAAGAACAGUAUAAUUUAUUCAUUAUCAAGACAAUAUGAAGACGACAACAUUUAGUUGUUAUACACUGGAAAUACAAAAGAUAAGGUCAUUGCCUUGUAAAGAACCUUCUGACUCUCUUCUGUGCUCCCCUUUAAAUGCUCAGGCCAUAUGCCAGCUCUGUGAGACUGGGAAUAGCCAGUGAAAACCCCAUUGAAGGCUACUGCACAGGUGGAUGAAUGCAUGAGAACGCAGUAAUGCAUUUAAGUAUUAGUAAAAUAAAAAAAUACCUAUGGAAAUUGGUUAUGUGUUU
ensembl:lncRNA